rnacentral:rRNA from 1 species
UACGAAGGGGGCUGGCGUUGCUCGGAAUCACUGGGCGUAAAGCGCACGUAGGCGGACUCUUAAGUCGGGGGUGAAAUCCUGGAGCUCAACUCCAGAACUGCCUUCGAUACUGGGAGUCUUCGAGUUCGGGAGAGGUGAGUGGAACUGCGAGUGUAGAGGUGAAAUUCGUAGAUAUUCGCAAGAACACCAGUGGCGAAGGCGGCUCACUGGCCCGAUACUGACGCUGAGGUGCGAAAGCGUGGGGAGCAAACAGG